AGUUCAAGAAAGGGCACAGCAUACCCCAGUGUUUAAGAGAAUGGAACCAUGGAGAAGGCUCUAGGCCACUCGAAUGCAAAGUUAAUUUGUCCUCACUGACCCCUGCAGGACGUGGUUCCUGGUGAAAAGAACAGCCUAGACUGAUGUAGAGACUGACACUACUGACAAGGCAUUGAAAAAAAGUGAAACUGCAAUGUAACAAAACCCAAGAAGAAAAGUCCAUGGUGCUAUGAUAUUUUCUCAUAGGGGGAUGUGAACUGAAUAAAUUAGGAGAGAAGUUUCUUUCUGAGAAAGAAACAAUCGAACAAGGAACUGAAGUUGAAGUAGGAGUUAAGUAGUUAUUUUUUAAAUUGUACUUUCCCUUCCUUCCUUUCCUCUCUGCCUCUGAGUCACUCAUUUAAAUCAUAGAGUUAUUCAGGGAACAAAAGAUACGGGGAACAUUGUAUUUUACAUCAGAUGAGCUCAUCUGAGGAAUGUGCAGGGCAUGUAUUAUCUCCUUAACA
rnacentral:lncRNA from 10 species